AGUGAACGCUGGCGGUAGGCCUAACACAUGCAAGUCGAACGGCAGCACAGAGGAGCUUGCUCCUUGGGUGGCGAGUGGCGGACGGGUGAGGAAUACAUCGGAAUCUACUCUGUCGUGGGGGAUAACGUAGGGAAACUUACGCUAAUACCGCAUACGACCUACGGGUGAAAGCAGGGGAUCUUCGGACCUUGCGCGAUUGAAUGAGCCGAUGUCGGAUUAGCUAGUUGGCGGGGUAAAGGCCCACCAAGGCGACGAUCCGUAGCUGGUCUGAGAGGAUGAUCAGCCACACUGGAACUGAGACACGGGCCAGACUCCGACGGGAGGCAGCGGUGGGGAAUAUUGGACAAUGGGGGCAAGCCUGGUCCAGCCAUACCGCGUGGGUGAAGAAGGCCUUCGGGUUGUAAAGCCCUUUUGUUGGGAAAGAAAUCCAGCUGGCUAAUACCCGGUUGGGAUGACGGUACCCAAAGAAUAAGCACCGGCUAACUUCGUGCCAGCCGCCGCCGUAA
rnacentral:rRNA from 1 species